rnacentral:rRNA from 1 species
GACGAACGCUGGCGGCGUGCUUAACACAUGCAAGUCGAACGGAAAGGCGAUGCUUUUGCUGCUUUCUCGAUAGCCGCACGGGUGAGUAACACGCGUGUAACAUGCCCCUGUCUUUGGGGUAACACCAGGAAACUGGGGCUAUUACCGGAUAGGAGCUACUGCUGCAUGGUGGGGGAUGGUAAGAGUCGGCGGUUGGGGAUCGACUCGCGGGUUAUCCGCUUGUUGGUGUGGUAGUGGCUGACGAAGGCUGCGACGGGUAGCCUGCCUGAGCGGGGGACCGGCGACAUGGGGACUGAGAUAGGGCGCAGACGCGAACGGGAGGCAGCAGUCGGGAACAUGGCGCAACGGGGCGAAGUCAGAUGCAGCGACGCCGCGUUCGGGAUGACCUCUUUCGGGUUGUAAACCGCUUUGGCCUGUGACGAGGACGGAGUGACGGUAACGGGUAAAGAAGCACCGGCUAACUACGUG